ACCUGGUUUAUGUAAUCACUCAGCAAAACGUCUGUCACCCAGCCAGAGUCUGCAGCAUAGUUCUUCAUAGGACAUCAUAGGAACUUCUUCCAAAAGAUAAGCCAAAAAAAGCGAGCAGGUUGAGACAGCAGUGAAUGAGGUGGAGAGGGCAGAACAGCCAAGGAGUCAAAGUGCAGCAGCAGCAGAGUUAGCCACAGAUGAGCCAAGGAGGAUAACAGAUGAGAACAACAGGCCAGUGGAGUACUUAGAACAGCAGCAGCCAGGGGAAACUGGUAGGGAAGAAGAUGCUUUAGGUGACCCAGACAUAGGCCCAAAACAAGUUAAGCUACCCCAGUAUCCCCUUGACCGUUUUGGAUUGAAAAACUAAAGAGAUGCACCAGACAAGACACAUAUAGGCAGCAACAGAAGAGUAAAUGAUGGAGAGACACGAGGCAAGACACAGAGAUAGCAAACUAAGAAUAGGAUAUGAUUGAGCGAGACACCAGAAGAACGGAACAGGCCAUAACAGAAGAAGGAAGACCAAGAAGACAUUAACAAACAAGAACCUGAGACAGCAAUGGACAAGACACAGAUAAAUUGACAAGAGGGCAGAUGAAGAGAGAACAGAGGUCAGCAUGGAUCAAGGGUCUGGUGCACGUUUUCACGCACCCUCUUCUUUCCACAGAACAAAUAACUGCAACAGAGUGGAGGGAGAUGGUAAGUCAGUGGAACGUGAAUGGGAAAACGUCUAUCACAGAUGGUGGUCCUACACUGCCCUCUAGUGUUUUACAGAACAGACAUCUUUCAGAGAGCUGCUUUACUUCUCAAGAUUAUCCCUUGUUAUACAGUAUAUUAAAGGAUACAGUCCAUGUUUGCCUGUGUAUACAAUAUAUAUAUAUUUUUUACUAGUAGCAUGUAAUUUAAUGUGUUCCUCCCUUCAUAGGUUUACAUUCCAAACCAAAUGUAGAGUUACGCUUCGAACACACCGACCGUGUCAUUGCAUUGUGGUACACCAGAAUUACAUUAAUUUCCAAAGAAACGCUGCGUUUGCCUUGCAGCAUUGCGUUGCAGAGGCAGUUGCAGUGCGUUCGGUGUGGUGCGUACGUUGGAUUUAUCGAACGUAUGCGUCAAACUGUUUGCGUAAACGACUUGACAGAAAUGGUAGCAGAGGGUGAAUGUUGAACUUUUGUUGCAUACAUAUCCAGAUGAUACUGCGUGCUAUAUUGCGCAAUGACUCUGUUGGUGUGUUCGAAGCGUUAACCAUAAACAUCUGUAUAUGGGUGCAUAGGCAGUAAAUCAUAAUGCGGUAAUAGUUUUGUUAGGGCUGAGUUUGAAGCCUCAGGGGGCCAUAUUGGCACUAGGGGGUGUACAGCUAGCAUUAACAGAAUGCCCUUGCUUGUCCUCCUGAGGCUCAGACAGCUGCCACACAAGUGGGACUUGCAGGGCUGGGAGGGUAGAUAGACAUGCAGGGCAGCCUGGCAGGAUAGACAGAGAGACUGACGUACAAUUUGCUAUCCUUCCCUCGCAGCUGCUCAAUCUUGGUGGCACCAUACAUGGGGCGCAGGGGGUUGAUGAUGUGGUUGUUCCAGCGGAACUUCAUCCCAGUCAACUCGACAAUGUCCGUCUCAGCAUCGAUGAAGAGCUUGUCCUGUAGGUUUUAUUAGGUCUCAGGAGGCCACUUUAGGAAAAAGCAGAACAUUUUCAUUCCUUUAGUCAGUUUAGAUUGGGGUAGGGUCAGCCAGUUGUCCUAUGAAUAGAUCUUUCUGUUAUUCAAGUCCAACAGUCUUCAGAAAUCAAAAUUAUUUUAUGGGCUAUGAUGUUGUCACUUACAAUUAGAAGAAUGAAAUAGAAAUGAAACCAUUUAAAACAGGUGUGUGACAUAACAUCUCAACUCGUCUAUAAGCUAGUUUAUAUCAGGAGUAGUCACAUACAGUACAUGUUAACCUGAUACUGGCGAGUGUUGCCAUGCUCUUCAUACAGAGCUAUAUGUUCAUUAUCCCUGGCUGGGAUCUUCUGCCAUCGAUGGUUACAUUUGCUUUGUAGCGGUACCCAGGAAUUUGAAUACAGUGCUUUCGGAAACUAUUCAGACCCAUUGACUUUUUCCACAUUUUGUUACAUUACAGCCUUGUUCUAAAAUGUAUUAAAUAAUUAUUUACAGGCAAAGGGCUCAGCAUCUCCGGUGUUCAGGUAGAACUUCAUAUUGGAUUGUCCCCUGGGGAUGGGGAACGUGUCAACAUAGCGACCCAUAAUGGGACAUGCUUUGUCUGCACAUGGGAAACACCUCUAAAAACACACACACACACAGAAUCAGGUGAAAUAUGUCUUCAUGCGGUCAAGGUGUAUACAUUGAUGUUAGACAGUGGAUUUGAUAGGGCAGAGGGACCCGAAUAUAGAAGAUAUAUAUAUAUAUAUAUAUAUACUGCAUGGUAAGGUAUAGAAAUAUCAUUUGUAGAUGUUUGUACUUGGGGCCAUAGAAUUGAGGUAUUUCAGUUUGAAAAUAAAGAUUAAAGCUUAGUAUUUAUAAACAAUUGCCAUUUGUGGCCAUUCAAGAGGAUUCAAAAGGAUAUAAAAGCAUUGGUCAGCUCAUUUUGCACCUUUCAUAAACCAUUAUAAGUCACUGAGCUGCUGUUAAUAUUCUACUCAAGGUGAAAUGUGAAAAGGGAUCUUUUAUUUUACGAUCCAGCGCUUUCAACAUCUUUACGCCUACACUCCGAAGCCCCUCUGUGGGUAAUCAUCUUUUCUUAUUGCAGUUUCUCACCAAGCACAGGUGGCCAGUGGCACCUUAAUUGGGGAGGACGGGCUCAUAGUAAUGGCUGGAACAGAAUAAAUGGAAUGGUAUCCAACACAUCAAACACAUGGUUGCCAUGUGUUUGAUGCCAUUCCAUUCACCCCAUUCCAGCCAUUAUUAAGUGCCGUCCUCCCUUCAGCAGCCUCCUGUGGACUGUCAACGCCCUUGGCUUUUCGAGUACCCCCAAGCAGAGGGAGAACCCUCUAAGACUUUUUUCUCUCCUCUUAACUUUUAUGUGUCUUAGAUCACCAGCCUAUUAAUAUGUAGAUCAGGAUGACAUCAGUUUAUAGUGGUUUAUAGUGUGGGAACAGCAGAGUUUAUGGCUGUCAACUGGGCGAAGGAAUAACACCCAAGGGCGUUUACGAGGUGAACAACAAGGAGGCGUCUGUCGGCUUCUCUGGGGACAUAGUCAUAUGAGGUCAUGCACCACGCUCCCGAGCUGUUUGAUUGGGACGUGACCUAGAGCAGGGAUAAGCUUUCAUUAACGUGGACAGCUGCAGACGAAGGCCCCUCCCAUAGAAAGAAUGGGGGAAGCCUGUCUGCUGUGGUCCUCGCUGAACCCAAUCCCGACGAAUCAACUUCUAAAACCAUAGAAACGGUUCACAGCCGUAUCAAUAUCAUGUACAACAACAGGUGGUACCCCUCCACACACACCCCGAUCAAGAGCCGUCUUUGCAGGCAGCAAUGCACACCCGAAUAAAGUAAACACUUAAAGUAAAAAAAAACAGUGGCAUGCAUUGAUAUGCAAUGGCUUUCUCGUGGCUUUCUUUUGCAAAAUAACUAUGAAUUAACAGACAUUUAAUAAUUGGCAACAUACACUGAGUAUACCAAACAUUAGGAACAUCUUCCUGAUUUUGAGUUGCACCCCCCCCCCCCCCCCCCUUUUGUCCUCAGAAUAGCCUCAAUUCGUUGGGGCUUGGACGUUACAAGGUGUCGAAAGUGUUCCACAGAGAUUCUGGUCCAUGUUGACUCCAAUGCUUCACACAGUUGUGUCAAGUUGGCUGGAUGGCCUUUGGGUGGUGGACCAUUCUUGAACACGCGGGAAACUGUUGAAAACCCCAGCUGCGUUGCAGUUCUUGACACAAGCCGAUGCGCCUGGCACCUACUACCAUUCCCCAUUAAAGGCACUUAAAUCUUUUGUCUUGCCCAUUCGUCCUCUGAAUGGCACACAUACUGGCUUACUGGUGC